UCCCUGGUGGUCCAAUGGCUAAGACUCUGCACUCCCAAUGCAGGGAUCCUGGGUUCAAUCCCUGGUCAGGGAA
rfam:TPA: Bos taurus chromosome 3, whole genome shotgun sequence.